rnacentral:rRNA from 1 species
CAGGCCUAACACAUGCAAGUCGAACGGUAAGGCCCCUUCGGGGGUACACGAGUGGCGAACGGGUGAGUAACACGUGAGCAACCUACCCUUGACUCUGGAAUAACAGUUGGAAACAGCUGCUAAUACUGGAUAUGACCGCCUCCUGCAUGGGAUGGUGGUGGAAAGCUCCGGCGGUUGGGGAUGGGCUCGCGGCCUAUCAGCUUGUUGGUGAGGUAGUGGCUCACCAAGGCUUCGACGGGUAGCCGGCCUGAGAGGGCGACCGGCCACACUGGGACUGAGAUACGGCCCAGACUCCUACGGGAGGCAGCAGUGGGAAUAUUGCACAAUGGGCGCAAGCCUGAUGCAGCAACGCCGCGUGCGGGAUGACGGCCUUCGGGUUGUAAACCGCUUUCAGUGGGGACGAAGGGUGACUGACGGUACCCACAGAAGAAGGACCGGCUAACUACGUGCCAGCAGCCGCGGUAAU